GGGCAUGGCGGCAGCCUACCAUGCAAGUCGAACGGCAGCACGGACAUCUUGCUGUCUGGCUGAUGAGUGACGGAUGAGUGAGGUAUGUGAGCGAGACUGCCUGAGGGGGAGGGAUACCUACAGGCGAAGCUAACUCAUACCACGCACUACCGCGGAAACCAAGAGAGGGACAUACCUUGCUCUAGUCAUCCGAUGUGUCCCGAAGUGAUUAGCUGGUGGGGGGGGGGAUCGCUCACGCAAGCAACCAUACCUGGCUGGAGUGAAAGAAUAACCACACUCACAGUGACACACAGACCGUACUCACACCUAAGGGAGGCGUGGGUGAGUAUUAUUGCUGGGUGAGAGCCUGACCCAUGCAUCCCUGCCGCGCGUAUAAAGACUGCGUUUUGGUUGUCAAUU
rnacentral:rRNA from 1 species